rnacentral:rRNA from 1 species
GAUUAUGGCUCAGGAUGAACGCUAGCGACAGGCCUAACACAUGCAAGUCGAGGGGCAGCACAAGGAGCAAUCUGAGGUGGCGACCGGCGCACGGGUGAGUAACACGUAUGCAACCUGCCUGUAAGCGGGGAAUAACCCGUUGAAAGACGGACUAAUACCGCAUAAUACUAAAUUACUGCAUGGUAAUUUAUUUAAACAUUUAUGGCUUACAGAUGGGCAUGCGCAUGAUUAGCUAGUUGGAGAGGUAACGGCUCCCCAAGGCAACGAUCAUUAGGGGUUCUGAGAGGAAGGUCCCCCACACUGGUACUGAGACACGGACCAGACUCCUACGGGAGGCAGCAGUGAGGAAUAUUGGUCAAUGGGCGGGAGCCUGAACCAGCCAAGUCGCGUGAAAGGAAGAAGGAUCUAUGGUUCGUAAACUUCUUUUGCAGGGGAAUAAGGUGCAGGACGUGUCCUGUUUUGUAUGUACCCUGAGAAUAAGGAUCGGCCAACUCCGUGCCAGCAGCGGC